GAAGUUUAUAAAACCAGAAACAAAUUUUGUGUAAAUGUGAUAAUUGUUUGUAAGUUUGCCCUUAUAAUCAAUCUUAUUACGUUUAUAGUAUAAUGAGCUGGUCUAGCUC
rnacentral:ncRNA from 2 species